AAGAAUGUCUUGAAGAUGUAUGACACCACAAGAAUACUUCACAAGGCUUAAACAAUAUGUGAAUUGACCCACAACAAUAAUAAUAUGACAAUGAUCAAAUUGGUAUAUGGUUUUCCACAAUUAUUUGCAAGACAACAAUGGUAUUUUUGCUCUUGAUUCAAUGGCAGGAAAAAGAGUCUUGUCUUGCAAUAAUGUGGGAAUCGUAACCCCCACUUUAUAACAAAAGAGUUACAUAACCCAAGAGUCACAAGAGUUACAUAACUC
rnacentral:lncRNA from 1 species